UUUGUCUCUUAAUUUGGGACUAGAAUGAAAGGUUAGACUAUGUAAUUUUGUCUUAUAAUAAUAUUUUGAAUUUCACAUUUUAGUAAAAAGGCUAAAAUUCCUCUUAAAGACGAGAAGACCCUAUCAAGCUUUACAAUUAUAUUUUAUUAUCAAUUUAAAUGAAAAAUUGUUUUGCUGGGGCAGCAAGCAAAAAUUUUUUGCUUAUAUAUUAUGAAUUAUAAUUCUUGAAAAAUCAAAUAGUAUUUAAUUAAAAACAAGUUACUGUAGGGAUAACAGCAUAAUUUUUUUAGAGAGUUCUCAUCAACAAAAAAGUUUGUGACCUCGAUGUUGGAUUAAAAUUCCUACUUCAUGCAAUAAUAAAGUAAGGAAGUCUGUUCGACUUUUAAAAUUUUCCA
rnacentral:rRNA from 1 species